UGGCGACCGGCGCACGGGUGCGUAACGCGUAUGCAACCUACCUUUAACAGGGGGAUAACACUGAGAAAUUGGUACUAAUACCCCAUAAUAUCAUAGAAGGCAUCUUUUAUGGUUGAAAAUUCCGAUGGUUAGAGAUGGGCAUGCGUUGUAUUAGCUAGUUGGUAGGGUAACGGCUCACCAAGGCGACGAUACAUAGGGGGACUGAGAGGUUAACCCCCCACACUGGUACUGAGACACGGACCAG
rnacentral:rRNA from 1 species